rnacentral:ncRNA from 1 species
GUAUUCUUUCGCGCAUGAACCGCAUCCAGUCCGAACUCCGACGUCGCCGCUCGCCGCUUCCUUAGGGACGCCGCUGGCUUCGUCACGGAUUCGCGCCGCACAGGCGCAAGCUGUUCGAAUCAUGAAAGCCACGGCAUGCCGUGGCUUUUCU